CCUACAUAAAAAAGGGGUUUCCUAAGCACGAGGUCUGAUAACGCAAACAAAAAAAAAAUGGUUUGCCUAAACACGAGGUCUGACAAGACAAGCAUGCAUGAAAAGAGUAAUUGCCUAAGCAUGAGAUUUGACAAGGCAAACAUGCAUGAGAAUGAGAUCUUGAUUCAAAGAUGAGUGUUUAAUCAUUAGGUGAUUAACCCAAUGAAUGUAUGGAAAUCAAAAUAUUGCAGUGUUUGGUCCAAAGGGAAGUGUAUCAUUAAUGAUCCCCCUCUCUCUCUCUCAAUAUCAACUCAUUUUCUUCUAAUUCCUCACCAACAAUCCAAACCGAGCCAAAAAAAAGAUGAACCCUAAAAACUAAAUCAACAAUUAAAUGGAGACUAUAAGGUAGAUGCAGUCUAAACCUUAGGGGUUUGACUUCAUAGAACCUAAGCUACAUCGUGGCAACGCUAUUGAAGCAAAAUUAAGGAUAAGUGAAGACCUACAUGCAAGUCGGAGCCGAUGAAGAUGAAGAAAAAAAAGAAGACCAGAGGGUUGGUGUACACAUGGUAUUUGGUAUGGCCCAUGGAGGUUUGGCAUGAAUUAUCAAGGUUAGCAAGGCAUGAAGGCAUAACACCAAGCCAUGAAGAAGUUUGAGGUCAUUAAGGCACAAGUAUAGAAGAUCUAUGAGAAUGAAAACCAAAGUAGACUUAGGAGUCAGUUUGACUUUGGUCAACUGUUUGACUAAAAAGCCAACAGUUGACCAAAAGUCAACUCUAGGUUAAAUGUGUAAUUUGUAGAUUUGGAUUCUUUUGUAAUGAACUUUGAAAGCUUGUAACGAGAUUUGGGUCUUGAAUGGUGUAAUGUAACUUAUUCUUCAAGAAACACUUUUCCCUCCAAA